rnacentral:lncRNA from 14 species
GUAACUUAUGCCAGUCUCCCUCUAAUCCAUAGCUCUGGAGUGCCCAGCUCACAGUCACUACACAAACUGCCUCCCUUCCUGUCUACCUUCCUGCUUGGACCCAGACAGCCGCUGUGAGGGCUCUGGCCACAAAGUCCCUGCCACCUGCAAGGAGGGUUGCAUCUGUCAACCUGACUAUGUGCUGAAUAAUGACAAGUGUGUGCUCAAAUCUCAAUGUGGCUGCAGAGAUGGUAAAGGUGUCUUCACCCCGGAAGGGAAGAACUGGAUCUCCAAUAGCUGUACCCAGAACUGUGUCUGCAUUGGAGGGACCAUUGAGUGCCAGAAUUUCCAGUGUCCCUUGGGGGCUCAGUGCAGGGACAAUGAAGAUGGCAGCAGUACCUGUGUCAAAAUCAGUGUUCAGUGCCCGGUCCACAGCAUCUACACCAAAUGCCUUCCCCCCUGUCCUCCUACCUGCUCCAACCCAGAUGGCCACUGUGAGGCCACAAGCCCCGACAUCCCUGCCAUUUGCAGAGAAGGCUGCCUCUGCCAGACUGGCUUUGUAUCUGAUAACGACAAGUGUGUGCCCGCAACUGAGUGUGCCUGCAAAGACACCCAGCGUGGCUUCAUCUUGGUG